GAAACGGAGGUGAGGUUGAGUCAUUUUAAUUCCUUUUUUAUAGGGUGCAAAACAUGCCCAUCGUGGCACUGACUUUCUCCCUCUCGUUUUUUCUUUAUUCCUUUUCUGUGUCAAUGAUUUCCAUGAAAAAUCCUUGAAUAACAUUUCCGACUUGAGAAACGCAUCUGUCAGGUGAUGUCAACGCCUGGCUUACUCCUCUUCCUGUUGGGUUGCAAACACGGCCUUCUCUCACGGUCCUGGAAUGCUGACACGGUCGGGCAGCCAGAGCCUAACACAGGACUUAAGCAGUGGAAGAAAUUCAAUUUCAAUCUAAGACAGAAGAAAACUGCAGAAGAUUGCUACCCAUUCAAGUAG
rnacentral:lncRNA from 1 species